ensembl:rRNA 5S_rRNA 5S ribosomal RNA
AGAUUUAAAAAUGAUGGGCUGAACGAGCCCGAUCUCGUCUGAUCUUGGAAGCUAAGCAGUGUCGGGCCUGGUUAGUACUAGGAUGGGAGACCACCUAGGAAUACCAGGUGCUGUAGGUGUU